AUUGAACGCUGGCGGCAGGCCUAACACAUGCAAGUCGAGCGGGGUUUUCGGACCUAGCGGCGGACGGGUGAGUAAUGCGUAGGAAGCUGCCCGAUAGAGGGGGAUACCAGUUGGAAACGACUGUUAAUACCGCAUAAUGUCUACGGACCAAAGUGUGGGACCUUCGGGCCACAUGCUAUCGGAUGCGCCUACGUGGGAUUAGCUAGUUGGUGAGGUAAUGGCUCACCAAGGCGACGAUCUCUAGCUGGUUUGGGAGGAGGAUCAGCCACACUGGAACGGAGACACGGUCCAGACUCCUACGGGAGGCAGCAGUGGGGAAUAUUGGACAAGGGGCGCAAGCCUGAUCCAGCCAUGCCGCGUGUGUGAAGAAGGCCUUCGGGUUGUAAAGCACUUUCAGCGAGGAGGAAGGGAUGUAUGUAAAUAGCAUGCAUUUCUGACGUUACUCGCAGAAGAAGCACCGGCUAACUCUGUGCCAGCCGCCGCAGUAACAC
rnacentral:rRNA from 1 species